UUACGGCCACAUCUCGUUGAAAUACCGGUUCCCGUACGAUCACCGAAGUUAAGCAACGUCAAAAUGAUGACUACCUAGUGGGUGACUGUUUGGGAAUACCAGCUGCUGUAAG